rnacentral:rRNA from 1 species
CUGCAACUCGACUACAUGAAGCUGGAAUCGCUAGUAAUCGCGGAUCAGAAUGCCGCGGUGAAUACGUUCCCGGGUCUUGUACACACCGCCCGCCACACCAUGGGAGUCGGAAAUGCCCGAAGUCUGUGACCCAACCUUAGGGAGGGAGCAGCCGAAGGCAGGUCGGAUGACUGGGGCUAAGUCGUAACAAGGUACC